rnacentral:rRNA from 1 species
GACGAACGCUGGCGGCGUGCUUAACACAUGCAAGUCGAACGGUGAAGCGCCUUCCUUUUUGGUGGGUGUGGAUGAGUGGCGAACGGGUGAGUAACACGUGAGUAACCUGCCCCCUUCUUCUGGAUAACCGCAUGAAAGUGUGGCUAAUACGGGAUAUUCUGGGUCUGUCGCAUGAUGGGUCUGGGAAAGAUAUUGUUUCGGUGGGGGAUGGGCUCGCGGCCUAUCAGCUUGUUGGUGGGGUGAUGGCCUACCAAGGCGGUGACGGGUAGCCGGCCUGGGAGGGUGGACGGUCACACUGGGACUGAGACACGGCCCAGACUCCUACGGGAGGCAGCAGUGGGGAAUAUUGCACAAUGGGCGCAAGCCUGAUGCAGCGACGCCGCGUGAGGGAUGGAGGCCUUCGGGUUGUGAACCUCUUUCGCCAGUGAAGCAGGCCUGCCUCGUUUGUGGGUGGGUUGACGGUAGCUGGAUAAGAAGCGCCGGCUAACUACGUG